rnacentral:rRNA from 1 species
AGUUGAUCAUGGCUCAGGAUGAACGCUAGCGACAGGCUUAACACAUGCAAGUCGAGGGGCAGCACGGGAGUAGCAAUACAACUGGUGGCGACCGGCGCACGGGUGAGUAACGCGUAUGCAACCUACCUAUCAGAGGGGAAUAACCCGGCGAAAGUCGGACUAAUACCGCAUAAAACAGGGGCACCGCAUGGUGAUAUUUGUUAAAGAAAUUCGCUGAUAGAUGGGCAUGCGUUCCAUUAGGUAGUUGGUGAGGUAACGGCUCACCAAGCCGACGAUGGAUAGGGGAACUGAGAGGUUGGUCCCCCACACUGGUACUGAGACACGGACCAGACUCCUACGGGAGGCAGCAGUGAGGAAUAUUGGUCAAUGGGGCGGGAGCCUGAACCAGCCAAGUCGCGUGGAGGAAAGAAGGAUCUAUGGUUCGUAAACUUCUUUUGCAGGGGAAUAAAGUGCAGGACGUGUCCUGUUUUGUAUGUACCCUGAGAAUAAGGAUCGGCUAACUCCGUGCCAGCAGCAGC